rnacentral:rRNA from 1 species
UUCGGGGUGGAUUAGCGGCGGACGGGUGAGUAACACGUGGGUAACCUGCCUCAAAGAGGGGGAUAGCCUCCCGAAAGGGAGAUUAAUACCGCAUAACAUUAGUUUUUCGCAUGGAGAACUAAUUAAAGGAGCAAUCCGCUUUGAGAUGGACCCGCGGCGCAUUAGCUAGUUGGUGAGGUAAAGGCUCACCAAGGCGACGAUGCGUAGCCGACCUGAGAGGGUGAUCGGCCACAUUGGAACUGAGACACGGUCCAGACUCCUACGGGAGGCAGCAGUGGGGAAUAUUGCACAAUGGGCGAAAGCCUGAUGCAGCAACGCCGCGUGAGUGAUGAAGGCCUUCGGGUUGUAAAGCUCUGUCUUUUGGGACGAUAAUGACGGUACCAAAGGAGGAAGCCACGGCUAACUACGUGCCAGCAGCCGCGGUAAUACGUAGGUGGCGAGCGUUGUCCGGAUUUACUGGGCGUAAAGGAUGCGUAGGCGGAUUUUUAAGUGAGAUGUGAAAUACCCGGGCUUAACUUGGGUGCUGCAUUUCAAACUGGAAGUCUAGAGUGCGGGAGAGGAGAGUGGAAUUCCUAGUGUAGCGGUGAAAUGCGUAGAGAUUAGGAAGAACACCAGUGGCGAAGGCGACUCUCUGGACCGUAACUGACGCUGAGGCAUGAAAGCGUGGGUAGCAAACAGGAUUAGAUACCCUGGUAGUCCACGCCGUAAACGAUGAGUACUAGGUGUAGGAGGUAUCGACUCCUUCUGUGCCGCAGUUAACACAAUAAGUACUCCGCCUGGGAAGUACGAUCGCAAGAUUAAAACUCAAAGGAAUUGACGGGGGCCCGCACAAGCAGCGGAGCAUGUGGUUUAAUUCGAAGCAACGCGAAGAACCUUACCUAGACUUGACAUCUCCUGAAUUACUCGUAAUGGAGGAAGCCCUUCGGGGCAGGAAGACAGGUGGUGCAUGGUUGUCGUCAGCUCGUGUCGUGAGAUGUUAGGUUAAGUCCUGCAACGAGCGCAACCCUUAUCAUUAGUUGCUACCAUUAAGUUGAGCACUCUAGUGAGACUGCCCGGGUUAACCGGGAGGAAGGUGGGGAUGACGUCAAAUCAUCAUGCCCCUUAUGUCUAGGGCUACACACGUGCUACAAUGGGUAAUACAAAGAGAAGC